rnacentral:antisense_RNA from 1 species
AUGCUGGCCCGGGUUCUUUUAAGACGGGUUCUGGCCACAAGCGACGGCAGCUUCCGCGACCCCCAUCAGCCCCGCCUCACUCUGGACACCGGGCUGUGAGCUCUGGGACGCGCCCAACUUGGAAAGCGUCUUGCUUGCCCAGCGCGCGCUACUUCUCGGACGAGCACCCGGUGCCGGGGCACAUGCUGCCCCCGCCCCUGCGCGCCUGCGGCUCCCGGCUCUCCCUCCCCUGCGCCGCGCUCUCGCCUCGCUUUCCGCGGGAGCCUUCCAACCGGUUCUCGGCUAGGGAGAAGGACGGGAGCGGUGGGAAGAGCGAGGGUGUAGAGAGGGAAGUUAGGGCUUUCGCUUUCCCCCCCCACUCCAGCGGCGGCGUUCGGUCCUCUGGGUGGAAUGUGCUCGCAGCAGCAGUGACGGAGGCCACAGCACGGGAGGCACCCGAGCCAUACACCCUGCAGCUGGAGAGAAAAGGAUGGCCGAGGUGGGAGAGACUAGAGUGAACCAGCAGGAGGAAGUCCUAGGGCCGCGAAGCUACGACGGAGAUCCGUCCUGGAAAAGCCUUCUCCACCCUGGGCACUUUAAGCGGCGGUGGCGGCAAACGGCAGGAGGUUGCAGACCCGACAGCGAGCCUCCCUCAUUCCAGUCUUGCUCUGCCCUCCGGAGAUGACAAGUGAGAAAGAAGUGUCCGGCCGGGCCAUCCCCUUCAGUUACCAAGAAUAACUGUAGAAUGUGCUGGGAAUGCAAUGUCCUGAGAUAAGGAAGAACUGCCUGAAACAGCCUGGAUGUUAUUCCUGUACUUCCUAGGGAAUGUAACAUCUCAAGUUAAAGAGGAACUGCCCGGAACAGCCCGGGGAUUGUUCCUCUCUCCUGAGAAGGAAGAUUACCUCCAAAGCUCAUCCAUUGAGUCACACUGCCCCUGUGGUGGAGGGAGGGCUGCCUUUCCAGGUUCCUCAGCUGUGGUGCAACUGAAGCAGGCACAAUCAAGACUCCAUCUGCUCGAGGCAGCUUUCUCGAACCUUGGGGAACCUACUCACAAUGGAUCACAGGCUUCUUUUGUUUUGUUUCUUGCUGCCUAUCUGUAAGUAAUUAACUUGCUUCAAGUAACGUGUUGCAUUAUGAGUGUGUUCUGUCUCAUAGACUCAGGGAAUUGGUAACACUGCAGCCGAGGACGCAGUGGACAGAAGUGUUCAUACUCCUGUUCCUUGUGGUUGACAGUGAUGAUGAUCUCUUCUGUCCUCCACAGAGUGGAAGUCCUCUCUUGGGAUUGGUUAUUGGUGAAACCACUUCGCAAUUUAUUAAGAUGGCAAAAGCUUAGGGAGGGGCAGAUUUGAGGGGAAGAUCAAGAUUUUUCUGUCAGUAUUGCAAGUAGUCAAGAAUAUGUGGUCCAAGAAGUGAUCAUUAUCUUUGGCAUUGUGCAAGUCAUUAGUGACCUUCACAUGAACAGUCUCAGUGGAGUGCUGGAGGAAAAAGCCUAACUGAAGAAGGUUCAAGAGUGAAUGGAAAAAGAGCAGUAGUAUGUGGAGAGUACAGACAAGUAUUUCCAGGGGCCUUUCUUUAAAGAGUGGUAGAGAAUGGGACAUCAUUUUUGGAUGGGGGAAGAGUUAUUUAUAGCAUGUUUAUAUGCUAAUGGAAGUGAUCUACUCAUGGGGAAAAUCUUGAUGAUGCAAGAAAGAAAGGGAUUUGUUGGAAUCUUGUCCUAUAACGGGUGAGAGGGGAUGGGUUCUAGAAGAAAAGGUGUGGGUCUUUGUUUGAGGUCAGGCAAUUCAUCUGUAGGAACCAGUAGGAAGAUGGUUAAGUGGGUACCUGUGGUAGUGGAUGUUUGUGAACAUUCUUUUCUUUUCCAUUGUUUCUAUUUUCUCAAUAAAGUGGGAAGCAAAAAUCAGCUGAGUGAAGAUGAGGAAGAAGGUGUUAAAGGUUUGAAGAAAAAAGGAAAAGGAUAUACUAAUCUAAAAGGACAAGUAAGUAGAACAUAGAUAAUGAAAAUGCUGGCCCUUAGGAUUGUUGGGCCUAAAUGCUUAUAUUAUAUUAGUAGUCACAAAUUUGAACUUUCUCUAGAGCCAAUUUUUGCAUGUGUGUGCAGGCCUGGAGUAGUUGGAGAGUUGGAUUUAAUAGAAUUGAGGGUCAAGCAAGCAACUACAACCAGGGAAGAGUGGGACAAGGGAGAUAAAGGAUAUUGGCAGGGGAGCAAUUAUAAACAUGGACCAUGAUCAAAACUGGAUAGGAAGGAAAAUAGGGAUAAGAGGGGUGGAAGGUUAAAAAUAGUGAAAAUGAGAUAGAAUGAAUAGGUUGUAGGUCCCUGUAAAGUUGAAGAAGUAUUAUUAUGCAGUACUCGUUAUUGAAAUGAGGUCACUAUGCUUAAGGCACAGUAAAUCUUAGAAAAUAGUGGUUUUGUUUCUCAUUAGGCAAUACAUUCCUCUUUGCUCCAGAUUGCAACAUACAUGUAUCCUUUUCUGUACUAUUUUUUAUUAAGAAUUCAUACUUAAUUCCACUGACUGCCACUCAAUUUUAAUGUACAGUAGGGAAUUCCUGUACUAUGUAUUAUGAAUCCAUUCCUUUGAAUUUCAUUUAUAAUACUCAUGACUGACACCUGGCUUUCCACCAAGACUCAAUUUUCAUAGCAAGCCUCAUCAUCAUAAGCCCCCAAAUUAACAGGAUGAGGAGGAAGAAUUGGCAGGCUAAAGAAGAUGAUUAUAUCAAUUAAUGCAGAAAACGCAUUUGAUAAAAUCCAAUAUUCGUUUGUAAUUAAAAACUCUCAGCAAGUUAGGAAUAGAUAGGAAUUACUUCAACUUAAUGAAGAGUGUCUUUAAAAACCUUGAGUAUUUUCAUCAAUUAUUAUCUGGUGGUGAAUGUUGCUAAGGAGGGAAGCUAUACAUGUGUGGGGAAAGGAGAUGUGUGAGCAAUUUCUGUACCUUCUACUCAAUCUUCUGUGAGCCUAAAAUUGCUGUAAAAAAUAAAGUUCAUAUUUUU